rnacentral:rRNA from 1 species
CAGUCGCCGCGGGAAUACAGAGGUCCCGAGCGUUGUUCGGAUUCACUGGGCGUAAAGGGUGUGUAGGAGGUUGGAUAAGUCAGGUGUGAAAUCCCGCAGCUCAACUGCGGAACUGCAUUCGAUACUGUUCAACUAGAGGAUCGGAGGGGGAAGCGGAAUUCUUGGUGUAGCGGUGAAAUGCGUAGAUAUCAAGAGGAACACCGGUGGCGAAGGCGGCUUCCUGGAAGAUACCUGACUCUGAAACACGAAAGCCAGGGGAGCGAAUGGGAUUAGAUACCCGCGUAGUCCCUGUCUCUUAUAC